CUCGUUCAAUGUCUGCUUUAAUCAUUAGCAAGCUUUUCCACAUGAUCCUUAAUUAUCUCAUUUAUCUAAUCUAGUGAGGCAUAAGACACUAACUGCUGCAAGAGGACCAAACAAUCGUUAGAUUCCUACUCCUCUGGAUACGAUAGGUGGAGUAAGAGUGUAAACUCAUUAGAGUCCUUUUUAGAGAGAACCUCUGCAGGCAUCUGCUUAAAUACACUAUUACUGCUGAUACUUCCCAGCUUCAUUUUUAAAUUGCUAUAGCAAAUCCGGUUAUUGAUCUGAAGUUCCCCACACUCUAUAGCUCUAUUGAAUGUUCAUCAGAGGGAACUUAAUCUUCUGCAAAAGAUUUGUCAUCUUCUUUUCUUCAUUUGAAACUAAGGCUUUGUUAUCACUGUACUGCAUUUGAUCUGACUUUUGAUAUUUGAACUUUUUGCACUAAGUUGUCUGUAGCUCUCUGACCCUCAAAGAGAAUGUGUGGACUGUGACAAGAACUACUGAACUAUAAUAACUUCAGGAGAAGAAAGACAGCAACUACUGUUCUACAUGUUCAAGUUGAAAGACAAUUCUGGUCAGAAGCUUGAAAUCACAGAUCCCAGUCUUUUGCCAGAGUGUGAAGGUCAUCUCUUCUGUAAGAGACAUACUCUGAGCCUUGAAGGACAGAGCCCUAACAACAGGUUCCUUGACCAGCCUAUCCUAACUAGGAGGUAACAGGACCUCUACUACCUGCAGCUUUGAAUUUGUACGAGAGUUUCAGCCCAAGUUAAUCCAACUGUAGAUAAGAAUAUGUUCUAGUUAAAUAACUCAAAAAAAAUAAAAUGAAUUUGAU
rnacentral:lncRNA from 1 species